rnacentral:lncRNA from 1 species
AUGGUUUCCUCUACACAUUCGUUCGGAUUCGGAAUUGUGGCUAUCGUCGCCACUCUCAUUUUCGCUCUUUCCUUCCCCUCCGCUGUUCACGCUCAAUCUCCUUCCCCUGCACCUGCUCCUACCAGCGACGGUUCAUCGGUUGAUCAAGGAAUAGCUUAUUUGUUGAUGUUGUUGGCGCUGGUGCUCACCUACAUCAUUCAUUCGGCGGAUUUUUCAUCUGCCUUGUGA